CUCUGCAUCCCCGGGAUGCAGGGCAGAAGGAG
rnacentral:ncRNA from 1 species